rnacentral:rRNA from 1 species
CCCGAAAGGAAGGGUGCCCUUCGGGGAAUUCCGAGACAGGUGCUGCAUGGCUGUCGUCAGCUCGUGCCGUGAGGUGUGGGUUAAGUCCCGCAACGAGCGCAACCCUAUUGCCAGUUGCUACCAGGUAAUGCUGGGCACUCUGGUGAGACUGCCCCGGUUAACGGGGAGGAAGGUGGGGACGACGUCAAGUCAUCAUGGCCCUUACGCCUAGGGCUACACACGUACUACAAUGGCGCAUACAAAGGGCAGCGAUACCGCGAGGUGGAGCCAAUCCCAAAAAGUGCGUCCCAGUCCGGAUUGCAGUCUGCAACUCGACUGCAUGAAGUUGGAAUCGCUAGUAAUUCGAGAUCAGCAUGCUCGGGUGAAUGCGUUCCCGGGCCUU